UACGUAGGGUGCAAGCGUUGUCCGGAAUUAUUGGGCGUAAAGAGCUCGUAGGCGGUUUGUCGCGUCGAAUGUGAAAACCCGGGGCUCAACCCCGGGCCUGCAUUCGAUACGGGCAGACUAGAGUUCGGUAGGGGAGUCUGGAAUUCCUGGUGUAGCGGUGAAAUGCGCAGAUAUCAGGAGGAACACCGGUGGCGAAGGCGGGACUCUGGGCCGAUACUGACGCUGAGGAGCGAAAGCGUGGGGAGGCGAACAGG
rnacentral:rRNA from 1 species